CCCUCUUUCUAUAUUGUCAUUUCCGCCCAUUGCACAUCAUCAAGCCAUGUUCUGAUGGUGCAGAGAGAAGCAAAGGGCUUUCUCCACCAACACUCCCCUAUCAUUGUGAGGGUGGCUGUUACUAUCUGAUCGGAGCUAUAGGGCGUCAGACAGAUUCUUGGAGCCUCCCUUCCUCCGCCUCCCGUGCUAUUUUAGGAAGGGUUGGAGAAGGGGAAAUAGGUAGCAAAGCAAGAAUUGUGUACGGUGCUGGACCCAUCACAUUCGCCUGCCUGUCACCGGAUCAUUGCACUAGCGCUGGCUGCACUAGAGGGCAAAAUAACUUUGAGCCAGCUUGGUGGAAGAUUCGUUUUCCGACUCACAUUUACAUCGUUACCAAGGGUACGGGGUGGAAUGGCGAUUCAGAGAGGGUUGGUGCGCUCACUGCAAAGGACAGUCAAGUAACGCAAAGGAAGCAGAAAGCAGCCAGAAAAGCGAAAGAACUUGGGAGAAAGCUGCCUCUGACUAGGCUAAUUCAGAAGAGGACUUCUGAAAAAGAAGUGGCUUAAAUCUUGAAAGGUAGUCUUCUAAUCAACUGUUACCUAAGGAUGAACCCAUUUAUGGACUCUCGGGUCUGAAAAGAAAAUAACAUUGUCUAGAUGGGAACUGCAUAGAGUCUUCAGCUGUCAAGAUCUGGUAGUUUCAUGGAAGUAUUCUCUUGCUGGAAGGUGCCUACCACUAUAGCAUCAUGGCUACUUCCUCGAGAAUGCUAUCAAGAUCUCCUCGGGACAUUGCUAAUGUAAUGCAAAGACUUCAAGGUAAGUGCCAGAAGUCUCAGAGGCCAAGUCUGGUUUGCUUUAGUGACAUUUAGAAACAUUUAUUUUCCCAUUUAUGUGUGUAUUUUUUUUCCUCUUUUGUGAAACUAAUAGCAACUGAUAAGAGCCAUGCCUUAGAAAUUUCUAGUAAUGAAGAUAAAUGAAAUAAAGAUAUAAAUAAUUAAUAAAGAUAUAAAGAUAAUAAAAAUAAGCACAUCUAAUAAGACAUGUUUGUGAAAAUUUUUAAAAAUCAAUAGUCUGUUUCUUCAGCUGACUUUUUUUUUUAUUUAACAAGUUUUCUGCCUAUCCUAUUAAUAGAAUGAGAAAGACUCUGUUUGUAUUUUUCUUAUCCCAGAAAUGAAUGUGCUUCAGUCUUUAUUAGAGGGAUUUUAACAUGAAUUCAUAUUCUUCAGCCAAGAAUACUGUAUUAUAGCUGUAUAAAUGACAGAACUUUCCUUCAGAGACUGAGAGAAGUGGAACUGUAAGAAUAUGCCAGUAAGAAAUAUGAAUGGCUGUUAGUUCACUAAUGGCUAGUGUUAAUCUGUGAGUGAAUGAGC
rnacentral:lncRNA from 1 species